rnacentral:rRNA from 1 species
CGAGUGGCGAACGGGUGAGUAACGCGUGAGGAACCUGCUCAAAGAGGGGGACAACAGUUGGAAACGACUGCUAAUACCGCAUAAGCCCACGACCCGGCAUCGGGUAGAGGGAAAAGGAGCAAUCCGCUUUGAGAUGGCCUCGCGUCCGAUUAGCUAGUUGGUGAGGUAACGGCCUACCAAGCCGACGAUCAGUAGCCGACCUGAGAGGGUGACCGGCCACAUUGGGACUGAGACACGGCCCAA